CAGUCGCCGCGGUAACACGUAGGGUGCAAGCGUUAAUCGGAAUUACUGGGCGUAAAGCGUGCGCAGGCGGUUAUAUAAGUCAGAUGUGAAAUCCCCGGGCUCAACCUGGGAACUGCAUUUGAGACUGUAUGGCUAGAGUACGGUAGAAGGGGAUGGAAUUCCGCGUGUAGCAGUGAGAUGCGUAGAUAUGCGGAGGAACACCGAUGGCGAAGGCAGUCCCCUGGACCUGUACUGACGCUCAUGCACGAAAGCGUGGGGAGCAAACAGGAUUAGAUACCCGUGUAGUCCCUGUCUCUUAUAC
rnacentral:rRNA from 1 species